rnacentral:rRNA from 1 species
ACUUGUGAAGAUAGUUGAGCUGGCUCUUCAAGGGCAAGUGCUCGCUGUUCUUUCAAUCUUCAUCCACCUGUGCACCUUUUGUAGUUAGUUCGAGAAACGUGAGGCUCUUUAAGUAGGGCUUCCAAGUAUCGGGCUCUCUAUGUCUUUAUAAACUCUAUAUGUAUGUCGUUGAAUGUCUUUACAAGGGACUUAACUGGACCUUUUAAAAACUAUACAACUUUCAGCAACGGAUCUCUUGGCUCUCGCAUCGAUGAAGAACGCAGCGAAAUGCGAUAAGUAAUGUGAAUUGCAGAAUUCAGUGAAUCAUCGAAUCUUUGAACGCACCUUGCGCCUCUUGGUAUUCCGAGAGGCAUGCCUGUUUGAGUGUCAUUAAAUUCUCAACCUCAAAAACUUUUGUUGAUGAGGCUUGGAUAUGGAGGCUUUGCGGGCUCUUCUAGAGUCAGCUCCUCUGAAAUGCAUUAGUGGAAACUGUUUGUAAUCCGCAUUGGUGUGAUAAUUAUCUGCGCUAUUGUGGCUACAAGCUUGUACAGUGUUCGAUUGGAGAGUGUACGCAAGUGCUCUUUCUGCUUUACUUGACCUGUACGAGUAUAGUAUCUGCUUCAAACCUGUCCUAAGUAACUGGACAAUACUUGAUUAUUUGACCUCAAAUC